rnacentral:rRNA from 1 species
UGGGGAAUCUUGCGCAAUGGGCGAAAGCCUGACGCAGCCAUGCCGCGUGAAUGAUGAAGGUCUUAGGAUUGUAAAAUUCUUUCACCGGGGACGAUAAUGACGGUACCCGGAGAAGAAGCCCCGGCUAACUUCGUGCCAGCAGCCGCGGUAAUACGAAGGGGGCUAGCGUUGCUCGGAAUUACUGGGCGUAAAGGGCGCGUAGGCGGAUCGUUAAGUCAGAGGUGAAAUCCCAGGGCUCAACCCUGGAACUGCCUUUGAUACUGGCGAUCUUGAGUAUGAGAGAGGUAUGUGGAACUCCGAGUGUAGAGGUGAAAUUCGUAGAUAUUCGGAAGAAGAACAGUGGCGAAGGCGACAUACUGGCUCAUUACUGACGCUGAGGCGCGAAAGCGUGGGGAGCAAACAGG